rnacentral:lncRNA from 1 species
AUAUAUAUACCCCUCUGCAUUAGGGUGAGUGUAUUUUUAUAUGUGAUGGUGAAAGGGGCCUUCAUUUUGUCUGCAUUUGCACCUGCACCUCGCUAGGGAGGGAAUUGCCUUAGAUGCAUGGAUGAAGAGAGGUGCAGGCGCUGCCGCGCUGGUGCAGCCAAAGAUGGCAUCUUGGCGUGGAGAACGCUUUAGUAAUUAGUGGGAGGAUCAUAUAUGCUCACAAUACUUUUUUCUUUAUUGAUUUAUUAAUUUUUUAUUUUUUUCUCUUGUUGAUAGGAUUGCUGAUAUGU